GCAGACACAUUCCAGCCAAUCAGCGGCGGACCCUCCCUCCCAGACCCUCCCACCUCCUGGACAGCAUCCAUUGUGAAGCUGCAUUCUUAGUGAGCUGUCCAGGAGGUGGGAGGGUCUGGGAGGGAGGGUCUGCUGCUGAUUGGCUAGAAUGUGUCU